rnacentral:lncRNA from 1 species
CUCUGAAUAGAUUUCAUUGGAGUGAACACACUGUAAACACACACACACUGAGAGAGAGUUUAUGAGAGCAUCUUGUAAACAUUGCUUUGUAACCGUUUUCUAGAUUAAUACAUUGGAGUGUUAAUCGGUGAAUCUUGUCUUUUACGUGUUCGUAACUUGGUCUAACUUACCUGUUUGGAUUCCGCACUCACGGGUUUGUCGGAAAAUAGGGAAUAGAGGUUACUCGAUCCUCCGGGUAGAUCUACAAUUGGUAUCAGAGCAUUGGCUCGAUUCCUUGUUUAAACCAAGUUGAUUUUCUUGUGUUUUGAUAGAUUUUAAAAAGGGUUUUUCAGCUUGUAUUCUUGUUUAAAAAAAACAUAUUUCUGGAAAAGCUUUUCAUCAAAACCUUGAAAAUCUUUGUAUCUUGCUAUUAGUUUUUAUAAAACCAUUGUUAAAAUGCAUGUACACAUGUUAUUCUUGUUGCUAAACUUGUGUGCAAAAUUUGUGAUCAGAAAAUUCAUCGGAGUUCAUCAGGUGCUUCAAGUUAUUCUUGUUGGUUCUUCAUAAGUCUCUAUGUUUGAUCUUUGUUAUGAAUUAUUGUUGUUGAAUAUAAUACACUUGUUUGACAUUUGUGUACAUUUGCAUCAUGAUAGUUAUCUGA